rnacentral:lncRNA from 1 species
UGUACAUCUAGCUUGUCAACAAAUUCCGUGAACCCCCCAGUCCAGAGCCAGUUUAAUGGUUCUUGUUUUACUGACCUCAGAAUGGUGCAAGACUUAGCUGGGAAUGAAAUCGAGAUUCUGCAGCGUAUCUAGUGUACACAUUGUAACUGAAUUUAAAGGAUGGGUCGAUGGACCUGUACCAUCAUAAUAGAAUGUUUGUCGAUAUCAAAAGGAAAAUGCAAUGACUUAGACAGUAUAAUAACAAUUUUACAUGUAUAUCACUGUCAUGCCAUCACAUGAAUACAUUUGUGUAUUUACUUGCAUAAGCUGUUGUGACAUCAUGUUUGUGCCUGUAUUUACCCGAUUUGUGCAAAAAUAAAGAACGUUUAAAUUUUUUUUAUAAAAAUAGGAAAAUAAAGGUUAAAAGCAAAGGUCAUGUGUAGUUGGGCCACCUUUUUAAAGAAUGGUUUGGAUGGUGCUUUAAAAUGCAAAAAAAAGAAUUACAUGCAAACAUAAACCAUACUCACUUCUCACGGUUACUCAUAGUGACGUCUCACAGGAAGCGGCUCAGAUCUCAGCUUUCUAAUUAACCGCAAACAGGAUACAACAUAUAAUGUUACUAUAUCCACCAUGUUUCAGACAAAUAAUACGUAUUGAUAGGCAAAAUCAGACAGGAAGUUAAAUCAUUGUAUAUUGUAUAUACAGCAUCUUUCAUGUGCUGCCCAACAGCCCAUCAAUAUGAAGAAAUGUACGUCCAAGAAAAUGUCACGGUAACCGUAAAAAAAAUCCAAAACUUGGGUAGAUUCAUUCUUUAAAUAAAUAAAUACAUACAUACAAAUAAUAAUUUAGCUUCUUGCAGUAAAGAUAAAGUAAAAGUUCCGCAUUCUGUCUAAGUUGUAAAGUUACUUUUGCCCUUAGUGCGACAAUACACCCACUCUUCCUCUUUUUUGCAUAAAUCCCUUCCUUUUAUAUAAUAUUUUUGGACGUUCUUGGUACGUUGCUGUUAUCACAUUACAUUGUUCCCAUUGUCUUCAUUGUUCCUGUUCCCGGGACAGUUUUGUUUGACACCCCGGGUGAUCUGGUCUCAUUUUGGGAGAAGUAAAUAUUAGGAUGAAAUCAGGUUAAAUCUAGUUAAAGAAGGAAUUGAAAAAAAAUGUUAUUUUGCAAUAAACCCACAAUCCAGUGCAAGGUAUUAAGUCCUAUGCUGACAGUUAAAUGACAGGGAAUUAUUUCAAGCUGUAGAGCAUGCAGAGACAGGUAAAAGGGGGCCAGUUUAGAAAAUGCCAGCAGCAUGCACAAUAUCCACUAAUAGGGCAGGUAGUGUUGGGCAGGUGUACAGGAUAUAGAGCAGGUAGUGUUGGGCAGGUGUACAGAAUACAGAGCAGGUAGUGUUGGGCAGGUGUACAGGAUACAGAGCAGGUAUUGUUGGGCAGGUGUAUAGAAUACAGAGCAGGUAGUGUUGGACAGGUGUACAGGAUACAGAGCAGGUAGUGUUGGACAGGUGUACAGAAUACAGAGCAGGUAGUGUUGGAUAGGUGUACAGGAUAUAGAGCAGGUAGUGUUGGGCAGGUGUAUAGAAUACAGAGCAGGUAGUGUUGGGCAGGUGUACAGGAUACAGAGCAGGUAGUGUUGGACAGGUGUACAGGAUACAGAGCAGGUAGUGUUGGACAAGUGUACAGGAUAUAGAGCAGGGAGUGUUGGACAGGUGUGCAGGAUAUAGAGCAGGUAGUGUUGGACAGGUGUACAGGUGUACAGGAUACAGAGCAGGUAGUGUUGGACAGGUGUACAGGAUAUAAAGCCGGGAGUGGUGGACAGGUGGACAGGAUAUAAAGCCGGGAGUGGUGGACAGGUGUGCAGGAUACAGAGCAGGUAGUGCUGGACAGGUGUGUAGGAUACAGAGCAGGAAUGUUGCCGGAAUGCUAGUUUUGAGAAGCAGGGAUAUAGAAUGAGGAGCAGGGGAACAGGCUGGGGAGCAGUGGUACAGUCUAGAGAGCAUUGUCUAUGGCUAUGGGGAGGCUUAGAGGUAAAAUGAUCUCAGCAGUCACUUUGCAGACAAGC